rnacentral:lncRNA from 1 species
CAGGUUCAGAGGUUCUGCUUAUUUUGCUGCAAGCUGAUGAUUAAUGGCUGCAAAGGUUUUCUCAUAAAUGUGAAAGACAGGACUGGAAAAUGAAGAUGCAAGUUGUCUCUCCAAAGGGGAACUCUGUAAAACCAGUGUCUGGACAGAAACAGCAGGGUUUUCUGUGCAAGAGGAUUCUACCAUACACAGGAAAGCAAUCGGGGCCACAGGUGGAUUGAUUUAUCACCUAAAGGGAGACUUCAGGGAGACUCCUUCUCCCAUUCACAAGCACCAAGACACGCAUAUCCAGGAAUGGUCAGUGGUGAUAAAUUUCUUCUUCGUCUUCACAUGCCUUGGUCCUACAGUAAAGUGGUGUGUCCCUAUGGCACCAUGUGGUGACAUGCUAGGCCGGACGCCAUGUAAUUGCAUUGUAUGGUGUUCUCUGACAAAAAUGUUUUGUCUUUUAGUGGUGUUAACCAGUUCUGGUGAUGUAGCCCUACAGUCCCCAGGCUAGUACCAGAGAGACAAUAAUAGUAGAGAAGAUGUGAUGACAAAAACUUCAGUACCAGAUACCUAUGUACUCCCAGAGCCUUUGAUAGAGUUAUAGGAUGAAUGCUGAAGCCAGAAGUACUGUCUUAAGUCUAAGCCCCUAAAGAUAGAUAAACACUACUAUGAUGUUGCUUGAAAUUAGAUCUCAUAUGAAAAUGUAUAGGUUACCUAAAUGACUUCCAAAACCAUGUUGGGUAGGAACAGUGCAAGAAUACGAUCUGCAUCCAGAUCAAUUUAAUCUCAUCUGUACACCUAUCUUGCCAGAAACAUCCCUCCUGCAGCAUAUCUGGAAAAAUACAGAACGAGCAGGUAAUUCACAUCACAAAACAUAAAUCAAGACAGUUAUGGUGAGCAAAACUUUGAUUCUUCUCCCCAAGACAGUGUAGAAUACAUGUUCUUAGACUGUUCUCUUCUGUGAAUAAAAUCCCACCUGUACUUUACA